rnacentral:rRNA from 1 species
GAUGGAUCAUUCAAGUUUCUGCCCUAUCAGCUUUGGAUGGUACGGUAUUGGCCUACCAUGGCUUUAACGGGUAACGGGAAAUUAGGGUUUGAUUCCGGAGAGGGGGCCUGAGAGAUGGCCACCACAUCCAAGGAAGGCAGCAGGCGCGUAAAUUACCCAAUCCUAACACAGGGAGGUAGUGACAAUAAAUAACAAUGCCGGGCCUUUGUAGGUCUGGCAAUUGGAAUGAGAACAAUUUAAAUCUCUUAUCGAGGAUCAAUUGGAGGGCAAGUCUGGUGCCAGCAGCCGCGGUAAUUCCAGCUCCAAUAGCGUAUAUUAAAGUUGUUGCAGUUAAAAAGCUCGUAGUUGGAUUUGUGGCUUUCGCGGACGGCCUAGCACUCAGUGCCAGCGCUCUGUUCGCGUUGCCAUCUUUGGGUCAAACCCGCGUGGCAUUAGGUUGUCGUGCGGGGGAUGCCCAUCUUUUACUGUGAAAAAAUUAGAGUGUUCAAAGCAGGCUUAUGCCGUUGAAUAUAUUAGCAUGGAAUAAUGAGAUAGGACCUUGGUACUAUUUUGUUGGUUUGCGCACCGAGGUAAUGAU